GGCAGAGUCAGCUAAAAAAGCUCUUGGACCCAUACUCCGAACAUGAUGGUUAAAAUCCCUCCUCCGCCA
rnacentral:tRNA from 2 species